CUCUUCAUCCCAACCCAGGCUGUGGGCGCCAUCAUCGGGAAGAAGGGGGCACACAUCAAACAGCUGGCGAGAUUCGCCGGAGCCUCUAUCAAGAUCGCCCCUGCGGAAGGCCCAGACGUCAGCGAAAGGAUGGUCAUCAUCACCGGGCCACCGGAAGCCCAGUUCAAGGUGAAUGAACUGCAGAACUUAACCAGUGCAGAAGUCAUCGUGCCUCGUGACCAAACGCCAGAUGAAAAUGAGGAAGUGAUCGUCAGAAUUAUCGGGCACUUCUUUGCUAGCCAGGUACUGUGCUGUGAGGGCCCUGUCUCUCCUGCAAGUCUCUUUUCAAUUCUCUGCUAAGCUGCUGGUGGCCUGUCAGGUGGCCACAGGCCCUGAGCAUCAAUCCAUGCCAAGAUGGAACCUCUCCCUGGUUCUUCCUGGCUCUUUAGGGAUGGCCCCCGGGGCAGGGGACAUUGUUUCACACUUCUCUCCACUGUCAUCCCCGAGGUAUGUAUGCUAGGAGCUUGGGGAAGAGUGGAGAGUGAAGCGCUUAAGCAAAGCCAUGUGGUUCCAAGCCCCCUGCAGUGUUUAAGGGCAUGGCCUCAGCUUCCCUCACCCUCUCUCCUCAGGCCUCAGUCCCAGCCUCCCCACUGGGAGCCAGGCAAGCCCACCCUCUGGAUUCCUCCCUGAAAGCCUGAGCACUCACUCUGAAAGGCUACAUGCUCACGGCAUUUCUCUCUCUUCCUCCUCUUCCGUCUCACCACAACCCACCCUAUCAAAAUACUGCACCUCCACACAGCUGCUUCUCUUUCAUUGGGAA
rnacentral:lncRNA from 1 species